UCCAUAGUGGUCCAGUGGUUAAGACCCUGCACUUCCAAUGCAGGCGCCCAGGUUCCAAUCCUUGGUUGGGGAA
rfam:Ovis aries breed Texel chromosome 4, whole genome shotgun sequence.